GAUGAAGAACGCAGCGAAAUGCGAUAAGUAGUGUGAAUUGCAGAAUCCAGUGAAUCAUCGAAUCUUUGAACGCACAUUGCGCCCGCCAGCAUUCUGGCGGGCAUGCCUGUUCGAGCGUCAUUUCAACCCUCGACCUCCCUUUGGGGAAGUCGGCGUUGGGGACCGGCAGCACACCGCCGGCCCUGAAAUGGAGUGGCGGCCCGUCCGCGGCGACCUCUGCGUAGUAAACCAACUCGCACCGGAACCCCGACGUGGCCACGCCGUAAAACACCCAACUUCUGAACGUUGACCUCGAAUCAGGUAGGACUACCCGCUGAACUUAAGCAUAUCAAUAAGCGGAGGA
rnacentral:misc_RNA from 1 species